GGUAAAUUGGUGCAAUUAGCACCAAGGGAGGAUGAGCAGCGGGAGUGGUAUACUCGUUUCAAGACCAGGGAAGAACACAUUGGUGUUCAGGUGGAUGGUGACGACGCUGGUACUCUUGUGUCUUGCCAGCGCUGGUGCCGCGGGCUUCACCUUCGACAAGUACAACCUGAGGGUCCCAUCAAAUAAUAUUUUUCUGGUAUUAUUUGAACAUGUGGCUGGUAUUAUGGGUUUCAGAGAACGACAUAUGAUCUUGGAAUUGUCAAUUCGGUGCUAUGAAGGUAUUAGGUGCUCAGUUGGAGGUACAUAUUCAAGGUUGAGGCUGAAAUGCACGAUGUAGAAAGUAUGGUGCCAAACAUGGAGGAGCCCCUUGUUGGGGGCAACGUUGAGAAGAUAGAGGGACAGGAGAUAGGUUGGUACUGAUUGAGGUCAAGAAGAAGUUGUACCGUGCUGGGCAUCUCGCUGUUGGAUUUCAUGAAUUAUUAUAGAUGUAUGAGUAGAAAAAAUUCAAAAGGGAAGCAUAGUUGAAGAAUG